AUGGCUUUCCAUGACGAUCGACGUAGGCGGCUUCGGCCUGAUACUGCGGAAGCACGGCCUUGUCAUGGAUCACGUCAUCGAUGCCUUCAUGAUGGAUGCCACGGGGAGGCUCCUGGACAGGGCCGCUAUGGGGGAGGACACUUGUGGGUCAUCCCAGGCGGCAGGGGUGGGAGCUUCGGCAUCGUGGAGUCCUGGAAGUUCCAGCUCGUGUGCGUGUCCGCGAGCAUUACCAUGUUCAUCAUCCAUCGGCCAAGAAACGAAUCCGCGAGCGAUCUCAUCACCGAGUGGCAACAUGUAGCGACAUCAUCCUCCGGGUCGUCGUGCAGAACCAAGACACGCAGUUGGAGUCCCUGUACCUCGGCAGGGAAGCCGAUGGAGCUGCUCCUUGACAGGGGCACCAAGCCCGACAGGUACUUCAAGGGCAAGUCGGACUUCAUGGACGAGACCAUCCCGAGGGACGUGUGGGAGAGCACGUGGAACUGGUUCAUGGAGGAUGGGGAUGGGCUUCUCAUCCUCGACCUCUUCAAGAUGGACCAGGGGGCUGCAUUGGGAGAUGGAGCCGUAUGUCCAAGAGCCCGAGGGACACAAUUCAGAUGCCUAAGGCCCGACCUCAUCUACGCCCAUGACCCCUCUGCAAUCACACAUCUACUGCAUGGUGUGAUUGUGAUCUGUGCAAUGAAUGGCUGCAGAGGGGAAGGGGCUGUCGUUCCGUUCAGCAGGGGCUGCAGCUUCUACGGCUGUGAGCCCGACCCGCAUCAACAGCAGCAGAUUCAGAUGGUACGAUUUUCCACCUUGCAAGAUAACGUGCAGUGUAAGGUCGGUGCUCAUCAGUGGUCGGACGUGUAUAUGCAUGUUUAUUCACGCAACUCCAUGGCUCUGUGCUUCAUCCAGUUGAUCCAUUUGUAUGAUGCAUAUGCUCAUUCAUGUGCUGUCAUAGUUACUCCUCACCGUUCUGAGCAAACUGUAAUUUGCAACUAA
rnacentral:rRNA from 1 species